AGUUAGUUUCUGUUGUGAGAUCUUGGUUUCCAUUUUUUUGUUAGCUAUUACCUUGUGCACCUUGUGUGUCUCAUCAUAACGCAUUACAAAUUUUUCUGUCAUUUCGAACCUUGGUGUUGGAAAUUUGAGGUAAUCAUUCAUUUAUAUAUAUUUUGAUAGGUAAAGAAAGAUUUCAUAUAAAAAGAGAUGCCAAAAAAGCGACUCAAGGUAUACAAUACCUAUACACCCACCGCCAAAAAGGCAAAAAAAAAACCAGUUGGCCCAGAAGACAACCUUAAAAAGAGCUCAACCAAUCAAUAAAAUUAACUAUAGUUAAAGGACAAUCAACUAUAAACAACUUAGUCUCUAACCAAAUAGAAAGAACAAAAGAGUAUUUCAGUUUCUGGAUAGACAACACAUCAUCCUUGAAGGCCAAUCUAUUUCUCGCCUUCCAAAUCGUCCAAAAAAUGUGAAGAGGAGCAGUUCUUCACACCUUCUUGCACUUUUUGCCCACAAGAACCAUGCUAGCUAAGAAGAGUCUCUCUAACUGAAGAUGGCAGUACCCAAGGCACCCCGAAUAAAGUAAAGAGUAAAUCCCAUAAAACCCUUGUUUUUGAACAAUGUAGACGAAGAUGGUCUAUGGUCUCCUCUUCCUCAAGACACAUAAAACAUUUAUUUGCCAAAGCCUAACCUCUUUUCCGAACAAUAUCCAUUGUUAAAGCUUUGCCCCACGUAGCCUCCCACGCAAAUAAACUAAUCUUAGGCUGCACACACACAUUCCAAAUGUAGCUAGAAGGAAACAAAGAAGGGCAGCCCGCUUCUAGAGCAAAGUAGAGAGACUUGAUCGAGAACUUUCCACUCUUUGUUUCAGUCCAAGACACCAUAUCAUCCACAUCUCCAAGCACUUUCUUCCCAUGUAGCCGCUCCAAGAAUCUUUCCGCUUCCUCUACCUCCUAAUCAUUGAAGUCUCUUGAAAAACAAGGGUUCCAACCCCCCCAACCUCCCUCAGCCAAGGGGCCCCAAAUAUCCGCCACCCACGCUUCCUUAUCAAUAGACAAAACAAACAAGAAAGGAAAAUGCACACGCAAAGGGGAAUCCCCGCACCAUCUAUCCCUCCAAAAUCUCACCCUUCACCCAUUACCUACAAUGAAUAAAAUCCUAGUGCCCACCAACUCUCAGUCCAUCUUUAUUCCUUUCCACAACCCCACGCCAUGCGCCUCUCUCACUUCCCGAGAGCACCAACCCCCUUUAUCUUCCCCAUACUUCCCUCUAAUCACUUGAUUCCAUAAGGUCUCUCUCUCAUUUGCGAAAUGCCAAUUCCAUUUAGAAAGAAGAGCCUUAUUGAGAAUGGAAAGACAUUUAACCCCCAAACCCCCUUUCUUCUUACUUAAGCACACCAACUCCCAUAUUACUAAAUGAGGCUUUCGCUCCAAAUUACCACAAUCCCAAAGGAAAUCCCUUUGAAUUUGCUCUAGUCUCUGUCUAAUUGAGCUUGGUAAGCGCAAUAAAGACAUAAAAUAAAUAGGUAAAUUCGACAAAGUGUUAUGAAUUAGAGUCGUUCUCCCUCUAUUGGAUAAAUAUUGUCUCUUCCAUAUGACUAACCUUCUACGAAAACGCUCUUCCACUCCAUCCCACACUAUCACUGACUUAAAUGGAGCACCCAAGGGAAAACUCAAAUAAGUGGACGGGAGACUACCCACUUUACAAACAAAGUCCAAAGCAAGAUCAUCAAUAUUCUCUACCCCCCCUACUGGAAUGAGUUCACUUUUUUCCAAGUUUAUUCUCAACCCUGACACGACCUCAAACCACAUAAGUAACCAACUAAGGUAAGUCAGAUGGUCUUGAGAAGCUUUGCAGAACACCAAAGUAUCAUCAGCAAACAACAAAUGGGAAAUCUGAACCCUUUCUUCACUCCUACCCUUCACCCUACAACCCAAUAUAAAACCUCCAUCCACAGCCCUUUUAAGAAAAGAGCUAAAAACCUCCAUGACAAUCACAAAUAGAUAAGACGAAAGCGAAUCGCCCUGCCUCAAUCCCCUUAAGCUUUGAAAGAAACCCGUAGAGGUUCCAUUAACCAACACGGAGAAGCUUGUAGUGGAUAUGCACCACUUGAUCCACCCAAUCCAUUUCUCCUUAAAACCCAUUUUCUGCACAACUGUGAGAAGAAAAUACCAGUCCACAUUGUCAUAUGUCUUCUCUAUAUCAAGUUUGCAUAGAAUACCAUUCUCAUUAUUCUUGAGUACCGAAUCAAUGGUUUCAUUAGCUAUCAGCACUGCAUUUAGGAUUUGUCUUCCUUCCACAAAAUCCCCUUGAGCUUUAGAGACCACAUUUCCAACCACAUUUUUUAGCCUAUUGGCUAAUACCUUGGUCAGCCACUUGUACAGACUUCCCAACAAACUUAUAGGCCUAAAAUCCCCUAAAUCUUCAGCUCUUGUUUUUUUGGGGAUUAAGACCAUAAAAAUUGCAUUUAGACUUUUAACAAAUUUGUCGUGUUCAUAGAAUUUCCUAAAGAAACUCAUCACAUCAUCUUUCACAAAGUCCUAAGCAAACUGCCAAAAAGCCAUAGAGAAACCAUCAAGCCCUGGAGCUUUAUCCCCACUACAUCCUAACAACGCAUCAAACACCUCAUCUUUCGUGAAUGGCACCUCCAAAGCACAGACAUCCAUAUUCUCCAGAGUCUCACACUACAACUAGGAAACAAGAGAACACUAGUCCCCUGGGUGGGACAACAAAGACCUAAAAGCAUUGACUAUUCCUUUCUUGAUUUCAUUCUCCUUCGUAAGCCAAACACCAUUAAUCCUAAUUCUGUCCACACUGUUCCUUCUUCUGUGAGCAUUGACCAUCUUGUGAAAGAAGCCUGUAUUUCUGUCACCCUCUUUCAGCCACACUUUCCUAGAUUUUUGCCUCCAAGUAAUCUCUUAUAGUAAAACCCAUUUUUUAUAUUCUCCAUUCGCUUAUUUUCUAGCUUCCAACUCUUCGAAAGACAAUCUAUUAGUUUUCCCCUUAGCAUCCCAAAACUCCACCUGCUCCAAAGCUAAACCUUCUUGUAUUCAACCCUACCAAAGAUAUCUCUGUUCCACUCCUUCAAUUUAGACUUCAAGACCUUUAGUUUUUCUGCUAAAAUAAAACUUGAAGAGCCACUAAAGUUGUCUCCCUCCCACCAAGACUUCAAAAGAUCGUUAAUCCACUUUUAACCACAUAUUCUCAAAUCUAAAAGAGGAGGAGCCUUUUCUCAGACCCCCUCCGUCUAAAAGAAUCGGAAAAUGGUCAAACACAGGUCACGGGAGGACAUUGUCUCGAACCCUAAAGUAACAGUCCCACCGCUCAUUAAUCAAGAAACGAUCUAGCCUUGAAAAUGUCUGGUUGUUCACCCCUCCACUCCAAGUAAAAAGACUCCCAAACAGCGGCAAAUCCUUUAACUCUAAAUCUUCUAUUAUUUCUGAGAACCUUCUCAUGUUUGAAUUCAAACUCCCUCCUCUGCUGCGCUCUUCAAGACUUAAGAUGACAUUAAAAUCCCCAACAACACACCACGACCCAUUCCAAAGACCCUUUAUGGCCCCCAACUCAUCCCAGAAACACUCCCUAUCUUUCCUCAAGGUUGGGCCAUAAAUCCCUGUAAAAGUCCAAAUGAAACCAUCAUCUCAAUUCUUAAAAAGGCAAGAGAUUGAGAACACUCCCUUUUGUAAGUCGACCAAUUUCAACACCUUAUUAUCCCAUAACACCACUAUACCAUCACCAGCACCUUUUGAAUCCACAGCUCCCCAUUCUAGAAAUCUUUUCACUCUUAAACUACGAAUAAGACUCCUUGACAUUUCCUGGAUCUUGGUUUCCUGUAAGCAAACCAAAUCCACCUUAUUCUUCUUUAUCAAGGCUUUGAUCACCUUUCUCUUAUCACAAUUGUUAGCCCCUCUUACAUUCCAGGAAAAUAGACGAAUCUUCAUCUAGACUUGCAAAUACUAUCUCUCCUCUUCCAAGAUAGUUCACAGUUCAUUCUAGCUUUCUCAACCCCCUUUCAAUAUUUGAAGACUUCAAUUUUUUUUUCCUACCAUUCAACUUCCAUUUCUGAAAUUUCCUCUCUUUCAUUCUAUUUAGUAAAAACAAAAUCUCCCAUUCGAAACCCUCUAUCAGCAUUCCAAGGCAGCAACUAAACUUAGCCAAGCGACUGGAAUGCCAACACAACUCACUUGCUUUGUCCAUCUCUUCUACAACCUCUUGGAAAACCCUUUCCGAACCAACCUCUUUCACCUCAUCGACAUCCCCAUUAGCCCUUAUGGGCAAAUCACAGACCUCCGCCUCCCUUCCAUCAACCAAAAUCACCCUUAAAGGGCCUAAGUCUGCUCCUCCAACUUCUUUUGAACCAUAGCCCCAUUUGGAUCCCCCAUCAGUGGCGAUGAUUACCCCAUCCCGCCCAGAAAGAGUAGAAGAUGAAGAGAAAUCCCACUUCCCAAAAGAGAACAAAGAACAAGGAUAAUAAUUUGUGUACCUAAAAGCCUCCUCCAUCAAAGCUUCAUCGGUAAUCUGUAUGAAAUUUAGCGUUGGUGGAAACGACCCCAAUUGGAUGCCAAAAACUUCCCCGUCUGGUCCUCUGCAGUCAUGAAGACCCCCGCAAGCCUUAACCCCAUUUAAGGCUUCAACAGUGGGUCGUCCCACCAACUCUGGGCCUUUUAAAGACUCAGACGUGGGCCGACCCACUUCCAAAAAGUCUUUUAACACGACGUAGGCUUGGCCGUCCUCAUUGGGCCUCCUCUCCACAACCAACUCCCUUACCCGGCCCAAAAAUCUAAAUCCUUGAGCUACAUGCCUGUUAUUUGAGGCCUCAUCCCAAAUAGACUGCAGCCUUUGGUCACUUCAUCCUUUGCCCCUUUUGCCGACACAAAAUCAGAGAGAGCAGUCUCCCUAUCUUUUCUGCAGUUACCUUCACCAACUUCGCACGAUACAACCACCUUUGCAAACUGCUCAUGGGUCUGUACCUGCUCCACAUUACAAACAACGCGUGAACCACCCCCUUCAUUAUUCCUAACCUCCGGCUCCUUGCCCAUCCCAUUUCUAAUCAUCGAAGCCAUUUCCUACACCCCUGGUUACACUUCCCACCACAGCUGAAUAGCAUAAUAGGAAGAGCCAACUGCCACUUGCAACGAGCUUGGCUACUCUAACCCCUCAGAUUUCACCAAUAAUCUAGCCCAUUGAAGCUCCUUAAAAGCAACAGUGUCUUCAUCCACUACAACAAACCCCCCACAACAUUCCCUAAUCUUUCUAAACACUUCUCGACUCAAAAAAUGCAACGGCAAGCCCACUACUCUCACCCAAACUUCCUUAACUCGCUCACCAUUUUGAGAACACCCCACUUUUGGGUCCCACAUUUUCAAGUGCAGAAACGAUUCCUUAAAACAAAGAAGCCCUCUUAAUAACACCUUGUCUGCCUCUACUUCAUUCUCAAACUCAAACAGUAUGAAAGGGCCCCCCAGCCCCCCAUCCUCGCAACCUUUACCCCUCUUUUAAGGUUCUAAUGAGAUCUCCCACAACUGCCCAAAGCAGACAAAUCUGGAGUCGACACGGGAGUCUCUUCCCAUCUCCCAACUAGACACCGGUCCAACAACUCCCUUCCGCUUAACACAUUUUUUUCCUCCAGUUGUAGCCACACUGCUUCCCUUAAUCUUCUCGCUCUUGUUUUCACCGCAUCUACAUAGGAGUUUUUCGCUUUCCCCUCAGAAGCCCCAACUUUACUCUCUGUCCUAGAGAAAACAAAGACUUCCCUAGGCUCAUCACGUGUCGAUACUCCAAGAGAGCGGAGCUUUUCAGCCAACAAGACCCAACCUCCCAAUAUACCUUUUCCCUCCGGGAACACUAAACAAUACUUCUUUGCUUUCGAGUCAACCAUAGAGCACAAUAAGAACCUGCAUGCCUCAUUUGCACGAUGUUCCAAUUUAGACUUCCUACUUCCAUCCUCCCAACUUUUAACAAAUCUUUGAGCAAACUCACCCUUACAACAAGCCCCCACUUCCUCCAACUGACAACACAAGCUAAGGCUCCCAAACCUGAUCCACGAAGUAAAACCUCUGCUCCAUUCCACAAUGAUCCCCUUAAGUUUUCGCCCCAAACACAUCCACAGAAAUUUCAAAGCACUUGAAGUCCACUGCAAACCAACAACCGCCUCCUCUUCUAUUAGCCAUCAAACCAAUUUUUUUGCUUUAUUGUAUUUGGAAUGAGUAAAACGGCAGAAUCUUUAGGAAGAGGAGCAUUGACAUCAAAUGUUUAAGGAUCUUUUCCUAAAAACAUUUUUUGAAUGGACUAAGAACUCAGAGAGGCAAAACCGUGUCCUAUAAUUAUGUCAGCAUGAAAUGCUUUGUAUUGAGCAUAUUAUGUCUAAAGUAUAUUUGAUUAUAUAAAAGACAUAUCCCUACUGAAUAUUAUGCUACUUCUGAUGUUCUUUAGGAUUGGAUUUGGAGUUUGAUGUUAUUAUUAAGCUUAUGCCAUUUUCUGGAAGCAAACUGGAUCUAAAACUCAAUAGUUGUCUCACCUGAUCAUUGAAUCAUUCUCAUAACUUCCAUCAAUUUAUUGAGUUGAACAGGCAAGUAUGGUGCCUUUCUGCUAGGGUAUGCAAAGUAUUCUGCUUUGCUUCCUAGUAGGAUUUCUAAAUGCGUGAUGGUGGACCAUUUGUUUAGUUGAAAUGGAGAAUAGGUGCAUAAGGUUUUUAGCAUAGUUAAAUGAUCUCAACUCUCUUUCUCUCUCUCUCUCUCUCUCUCCUUUUCCUCUUUUCCUUUUUCUCUUCUGUAUUACCAAAUUGUGAUACAUUUUGGGCUUGUUAUUCCUCUAUUUUCUGAUUGUGUUGGAUUUUCCCUUGGUCAGUUGUUUUGUGGUAUUGAUAAUAAGAAUCAGAAAGAUUUUUCAAAAAGAUAUUCCACACACCAUUAUAUGAUCAUUUGGAGCAACAAAUUUAAAGGUCCCUUUCUUUUGUAAUGAUGGAGGGACCCAUCUUAAGGGACAUUCAUCAUUUCAAGUAAGUUUCCAUUUAGGAUUAUUGCUUGGACGCUAAGAAGGUCUUGUGAUUGGAUUAUUAUAAGUUGACUUCUUAAGUUCUCUUAUUCUGUGGUGUGUGUUUGUUUUUCUUGUAUACCACAUGAGUACCCUGUUUAAAUUUUUCAAUAGCUUUUUUUAUUCGUAGACAAAGUAACUAACUUACUGCUUUGGGGAUAAUUUUUGUAAUGAAAAUAAUUGAUAGGAGUUUUGUAUUGCAAAUUUAUCAUUAAUUUUAUACCCAAUUGUCUUAAGAGAAGAUAAGAACCAUAGUAGUGCAACUUAUCUUCAAACUGAGCUUAUUCUUAAGAAGGGCUGUGCAGAGAAGAUGUUAGUGUAAAGACUUACGAUGUGGGUGGUGCACAAAGAUCACUGAAACAAUGGUCUCACCCAUAUCCUGUACACAUUUCCGAAUACACAAGAUGAUAGAGAUGUAGUUUAUGUUAUGAUGGAAAGACAAAUUGCUGAGGUGCCGGACAAACUCUUUGAUACUUGUAUCAAAUGGAUGAGCAUAUUGUCUUCCAGCCAUUGGACUCUGAAGAAUCAGAAAAAUUGUAGAGAUACAGGUGCUCAAAGAAAUGGUGCAGUGCAAUGUGCAAGCAUAAAGGAAAGGAUCUUUGUUCUUCAUUCAGCUGAGUCCUAUUUAACAGCUGAAUUGUGCCAAAAAUACCGGUUGCAGAUUGCCGACUUCAUGAAUUUGUUCCCUUCAGUUGAAAGUGUAGCCCAGGUUGGAAGGUUUUGGAUCAAAGGUUUUCUUCCCUGACAAAGGGGGAGUGACCCCAUUUGGACCCAUGUUUAGCCCUCCAUGCAGCCCUCAAUUCUUUCUUCACCUGUGAAAACCACUAUUAUGGCAGUUUCCUUGCUUCAAAGAAUCUCUGUUUCUUUUUCCUUUUUAAUGUGAAUUCCCGUUUUUUUUAGGGUUUCCAAUUUUGUGUUGGAUCCAUGUUAAUAAGCAGAAAGAUUAGAACAAAACAAGGUCACCCCUUGAUUCAUGUAGAGAAAGUGGUCACCCAUACUGCUACAUUUUCUUAUGUAUUGGAGAUACCUUUCUCAUUAAUGAAUGGCCAUGCCCCUUA